GACGAACGCUGGCGGCGUGCUUAACACAUGCAAGUCGAACGAAGGGGCGAACGGGUGAGUAACGCGUAAUCCACCUGCCCUUCAGGGGGGAACAACAGUUGGAAACGACUGCUAAUACCGCAUACUGAAGGAGGGGAUUGCGUCUGAUUAGCUAGUUGGGGGGGUAACGGCCCACCAAGGCGAUGAUCAGUAGCCGGUCUGAGGGGAUGAACGGCCACAUUGGGACUGGGACACGGCCCAGACUCCUACGGGAGGCAGCAGUGGGGAAUCUUCCGCAAUGGACGAAAGUCUGACGGAGCAACGCCGCGUGAGUGAUGACGGCCUUCGGGGUGUAAAGCUCUGUUAAUCGGGACGCGGUACCGGAAUAGAAAGCCACGGCUAACUACGUGCCAGCAGCCGCGGUAAUUC
rnacentral:rRNA from 1 species